rnacentral:rRNA from 1 species
AUGUCUAAGUAUAAGCGACUCAGCUCGUGAAACCGCGAACGGCUCAUUAUAACAGCUAUAAUUUACUUGAUCUUGACCAUCCUACUUGGAUAACUGUGGUAAUUCUAGAGCUAAUACAUGCGCAAGAGCUCGUCGCAAGACGAGUGCAUUUAUUAGAGGAAAACCAAGCGGCCUCGGCCGUGCUUUGUUGACUCAGAAUAACUAAGCUGAUCGCAGGGUCUUGUACCGGCGACGUGUCUUUCAAGUAUCUGCCUUAUCAACUUUCGAUGGUAGUGUAUCUGACUACCAUGGUGGUGACGGGUAACGGAGGAUCAGGGUUCGACUCCGGAGAAGGGGCCUGAGAAAUGGCCACUACGUCUAAGGAUGGCAGCAGGCGCGCAAAUUACCCACUCUCGGCUUGAGGAGGUAGUGACGAGAAAUAACGAGACCGUUCUCUACGAGGCCGGUCAUCGGAAUGGGUACAAUGUAAACCCUUUAACGAGUAUCUAUGAGAGGGCAAGUCUGGUGCCAGCAGCCGCGGUAAUUCCAGCUCUCAAAAUGCAUAGAAUUAUUGCUGCGGUUAAAAAGCUCGUAGUUGGAUCUGUGCCCCGCGGGCGGUUCUCCCCCACCGGGGAGCUACUGCUCCGCGGGGCUUUUGGCUGGUCUCAUUCGAUUUCUCUUGUGGAGGUUGGGUUGGCUAGCGAGUUUACUUUGAACAAAUCAGAGUGCUCCACACAGGCGUCUCGCCUGAAUGUUCGUGCAUGGAAUAAUAGAAGAGGAUUUCGGUUCUAUUUUAUUGGUUUUAUAGACUGAGGUAAUGGUUAAUAGAGACAAACGGGGGCAUUCGUACCGCUGCGUGAGAGGUGAAAUUCUUGGACCGCAGCGAGACGCACGACAGCGAAAGCAUUUGCCAAGCAUGUCUUCAUUARUCAAGAACGAAAGUCAGAGGUUCGAAGGCGAUCAGAUACCGCCCUAGUUCUGACCGUAAACGAUGCCAACUAGCGAUCCGCCGGCGGAUCAUUCGCCCUGGUGGGGAGCUUCCCGGAAACGAAAGUCUUCCGGUUCCGGGGGAAGUAUGGUUGCAAAGCUGAAACUUAAAGGAAUUGACGGAAGGGCACCACCAGGAGUGGAGCCUGCGGCUUAAUUUGACUCAACACGGGGAAACUCACCCGGCCCGGACACCGCGAGGAUUGACAGAUUGACAGCUCUUUCAUGAUUCGGUGGAUGGUGGUGCAUGGCCGUUCUUAGUUCGUGGAGCGAUUUGUCUGGUUUAUUCCGAUAACGAGCGAGACUCUAGCCUGCUAAAUAGUCCAGUCAUCCCGCAACAGUGACUGCCGACUUCUUAGAGGGAUCAUCGGCGUUCAGCCGCACGAGAUUGAGCAAUAACAGGUCUGUGAUGCCCUUAGAUGUCCGGGGCUGCACGCGCGCUACACUGGCGAAGGCAGCGUGCCUGUCCUUUCCCGAAAGGGAUGGGUAAACCAUUGAAAAUUCGCCGUGAUUGGGAUCGGAAAUUGCAAUUAUUUUCCGUGAACGAGGAAUUCCAAGUAAGUGCGAGUCAUCAACUCGCGUUGAUUACGUCCCUGCCCUUUGUACACACCGCCCGUCGCUGCCCGGGACUGAGCCAUUUCGAGAAAUUUGGGGACCGGCUCUGUCGUCCGCAAGGAUGGCUCAGCUGCUAACCAACUUAAUCGCAGUGGCUUGAACCGGGC